UACGGGGGGGAGCAAGCGUUGUUCGGAAUCACUGGGCGUAAAGGGAGUCUAGGCGGUUUGGUAAGUGGGAUGUGAAAUGCCCCGGCUCACCCGGGGACCUACAUCCCAAACUGCUGAGCUUGAGUACAGGAGAGGGUGGGGGAAUUCCAGGUGUAGCGGUGAAAUGCGUAGAUAUCUGGAGGAACACCGGUGGCGAAGGCGCCCACCUGGCCUGCUACUGACGCUGAAGCUCGAAAGCUAGGGGAGCAAACGGG
rnacentral:rRNA from 1 species